AUCACCGAAGUUAAGCAUCAUUGGGCGCGGUCAGUACUUGGGUGGGUGACCACCUGGGAACACUGCAUGCCGUU